rnacentral:rRNA from 1 species
AUUGAACGCUGGCGGCAUGCCUUACACAUGCAAGUCGAACGGCAGCACGGGUGCUUGCACCUGGUGGCGAGUGGCGAACGGGUGAGUAGUACAUCGGAACAUGUCCUGUAGUGGGGGAUAGCCCGGCGAAAGCCGGAUUAAUACCGCAUACGAUCCACGGAUGAAAGCGGGGGACCUUCGUGCCUCGCGCUAUAGGGUUGGCCGAUGGCUGCUUAGCUAGUUGGUGGGGUAAAGGCCUACCAAGGCGACGAUCAGUAGCUGGUCGGAGAGGACGACCAGCCACUCUGCGGCUGAGACGCGGCCCAGCCUCCUACGUGAGGCACCAGUGGGGAAUUUUGGACAAUGGGCGAUAGCCUGUUCCAGCCAUGCCGCGUGUGUGAAGAAGGCCUUCGGGUUGUAAAGCACUUUUGUCCGGAAAGAAAUCCUUGACUCUAACACAGUCGGGGAAUGACGGUACCGGAAGAAUAGGCACCGGCUACCUCCGU